GUAAUGCUGUCUUUUUGUCCUGCCUUGCUUUGACUUCUGUCAAGUUUUAAUGUUCCUCAAAGCUUCAAAUCAUCUUUUCCUACCCAUAUGAUACUUUUAAUCAUUUAACCAGAUAAAAGGAAGUAGAAAAUCUUCCAGUUUGUUGAAUUGUAUACCAAGGCAUUUCUGUAAUAUUCCGUUCAAUAUCCUAGAACCAUGAUGUUCCUUCAUUCAUUCAUUCAUUCACAUAUUUACUCUGCGUCCAGAACUCUUCCAGGCACCUUAAGUGAUCUCAGAGCAGACAAGAUUCUUCUUGGAGUUUAAAUUCUAAUGGAGGCCAUCAUUAGUCCAUUGAUACAUAAGUGAAUAAUACAGUGUUCCUUAAGGAAACAAGUGGAGGAAAUAAUAGAUCAGAGUAGUCAAGAUUAUUUGUAAAGGAGUAAAUCAGAAGUUGACACAUUGGAAAAAAGUCUCAGUACCAGUCAUGUUACAGAGAAAAUCACGGGAGUCCCAAUAUACUCAAUAUUCACUAAUUUGCAGGCAGUUAAUAGAAUGUAAAUCAACUGAAGGGAUUAAGAUUGAGCUGGCUCUAUAUUAUGAACUCUGGACUCCAAAGGAAAAAAAAAAGUUAACUCAAAGAAGAAAUGUUAAAGGCUCUGUGUUAAUCAACAUGUGCCAAAGGAUAUGAAAAAUUAGAACAAAAGUGUUAGGGGAGCAAAGCGGGUCUCUGAGAUGAAAUGAUUGUUCUGUUUCUGACAGAAUGACUGGGAGGUGAAGACAGAUGUUUGGGAAACAUAGACUUGUGUCUUGGGUAGAAGAACAAGCCACUAGGAAAGCAUUAAAAAGUGAUCAGAAAUGUCAAAAAGUAAAAAGGAAGAAAAAAAUAAGGUGAAAGCAUCAUAAAAGAAUUAUGAAGCUGGUGAAAAAAUUACUGAUGAAAUGUGUAGAACAAAAAUUGUAAAGAACAAUUAGAAAUUUCAGUGGGAAAGUCCAAUUCCACUGUGUUGUAGAUAUGUAUUUUCUUAAGCUUUAUGUAAUUAUGACCUGAGAUCAAGAUGGACAGCAAAGAAACGUGAUGCUAUUUUAUCAAGCAAAUAGCAGCUGCAUUGUUUUAUUUGAAGGUUUCACCGACCAAGAUUCUCUAAGCACUUAGCCGGCUGAUGCAUGAUGAUACCAAAAAUAAAUGUUCCUCAAUGAUAUUGAAGGA
rnacentral:lncRNA from 1 species